CCCCCCCGGCUCAUCGGACCCUUGGCUGUGCUGGCACAGCACACAUUGUCCUUGCUGUGCUCAUGUGUGUCUAACUGCCUACCACAGAGGGAUGGGGAUGUAUUCAAGAAACCUCUGGGUAAGAUUUACUCCUUGUCUUGAAGAGCACUGCUCAGGGAUCCAUUUGCCUGCACACAUAAAAGUCCAAUAAGACACAGACAGGAGUUUCCAGCAAAGGAACUAAAGAUUUAUUUAAGGAAAUGGCACCAAACCUGGAGACACAGAAAAGAACUCGUUCCAAGGAUCAGGGUCUGAGGUGGGGCAUCAAACAAAGCCGACUGGAUGAUGUUUCCCUCCCAGCCCAGGGCUGGGCCAGGUGGACUAGACAGAAGCUCACAGUUCCCCCUGGCAGCACGCACUUAGAGGAGAGGGAACAUAAUGUCCCUGAAGAAAGGGGUUGUUGAAAUGUGUACACAAAAGUCUGAAGGUCCAUUGUCACUGUCAGAGCCAAUCUCUGCAAGUGUGUCCUGCACUGCAGGAGGGGAAUAUUGCUGGAGUUUCGGCCAGUGGCUCUCCCUACCCAAACAUGGUUAUACAAGGACUGCAAUCCA